UUAAAAGCUAAAGGUGAAAACCUUGGUACUCAUAGACGAAGAAGGACGUGUUAAUCAACGAAAUACUUCAUUUAGUAUAAAAUUAUUUAAUACUAAAAGAAUAAUAAAAUAAAAAUUGAAGUUUUCCGAAUAGGAUAAAACCUUUUAAUUUUAAAUAUAAAUUUAUUAAAGUUAACCUAGGGAACUGAACCAUCUUAGUACCUAGAGGAAAAAAAAGUAACAACGAUUUUCUAAGUAGUGGUGAACGAAAAGGAAAAAUAAAUUUUUAAAUAAAUUUAUAAUUGUCUAUAUUAAUAAGAUUUUUUAAAAUCUAAGUAAAAUGGAAAUAAAUUCCGUUUGAAUUAACGAGGUCCACCUCGUAAGACUUAAUACUCAUGAGUAACCGAUAGUAAAAAUAAGUACCGUGAGGGAAAGGUGAAAAGAACCCCGUAAGGGGAGUGAAAUAGAACUUAAAACCUUUUAAAAAAAGCUUAUUUGUAAUAGAAGGAUUAUUUUUUGAAUCUAACUGUGUGCCUGUUGAAGAAGGAGCCGAUGAGUCAUAGUAUAAUGUAAGCUUUUGGUUAAGGAAAAAACGAAGCCAUAGUGAAAGCGAGCUAAUUUUAAAUAUUAAGCAUAAAAAUAAGUUUACUACUAUGGACCCGAAUCCGAAUGAUCUAACUAUAUCCAAGAUGAAACUUAUAUUAAACUAAGUGAAGGUCUAAAUUGAUUAAUGUUGCAAAAUUAUCAAAGGAGGUGUGGUUAGAGGUGAAAUGCCAAACGAAUUCGGAGCUAGCUGGUUCUCCCCGAAAUGUAUUUAAGUACAGCUGUUAAUAUUAUUUUAUAGGGGUAAAGCACUGUUUAAAUUAAGGCUAAUUUUUAAUUAGUAUUUAAAUUAUUCAAACUAUGAAUACUAUAUAAAAUUAUUUUAUUAUCAAGUGAGACUUAGGGGGUAAUCUCUUAUAGUCAAAAGGGAAACAACCCAGACCAUAAGUUAAGGUCCUUAAAUAUUGUUAAGUUAAAAAGGAAGUGAAAUUAUAAAGACAUCUAGUAGGUUGGCUUAGAAGCAGCAAUCCUUUAAAGAGUGCGUAAUAGCUCACUAGUUUAGUGAUUUUGUGCCUAAAAUUUUACGGGAAUAAACAAUAUACCGAAACUAUGGGAUAUAAAAAUCGGUAGGGGAGCGUUCUACCUUAGAAUAAAGUUUAAAUGAAAAUUUAAAUGAACGAAGUAGAAGUGAGAAUAUCGGUUUGAGUAACGAAAUUAUCAGUUUAAAUCUGAUACUCCUGAAACCUAAGGUUUCCUGUGUUACAGUUUUUCUACGCAGGGUUAGUCGAGACCUAAAAUGAGAUGUAAAGUGUAAUUGAUGGGUAAUAGAUUAAUAUUUCUAUACCAUAUUUAUUUUGCAAUAAACAACAAAUUUUUAUUUAUUUAUUAAAUCUUGGUUAUUUUAAUUAUUUAAUAAAUUUAAAAUUUCACGAAAAACUUUAUGUGCAUAAAAAAUAAAUAUGCUCGUACCGUAAACUGACACAAGUGGGUAAGUAUAAAAGUACAUAGGAGACAAGAAAACUCUCUCUAAGGAACUCGGCAAAUUGAUCCUGUAACUUCUGGAUAAAGGAUGCCUAAAAUUUAAAAAUUAGGUUGCAAAAAAUAGACCCGAGCGACUGUUUAUCAAAAACACAGGUUUCCGCUAAGUUGAAAAACAAUGUAAGGAAACUGACGCCUGCCCAGUGCCGGUAGGUUAAAAAAAUAAAAUAAGUAUUAAAAAUUUUUUAAGCCCUGGUAAACGGCGGCUGUAACUAUAACGGUCCUAAGGUAGCGAAAUUCCUUGUCGGGUAAGUUCCGACCUGCACGAAAGGCGUAACGACUUGGGUACUGUCUUUGAGAGAGACUUGGUGAAAUAGAAAUGUCUGUGAAGAUGCGGACUUCCUACAUCAGGACAGAAAGACCCUAUGAAGCUUUACUAUAACUUGAAAUUGAAUUUUAAAAUAAAAUUGUGUAGAAUAAGUGGGAGAUAUAUAAUUUAUUUUUUAUUAAAUUAAUUAAUCAUUAUUGAAAUACCACUCUUUUAAAAUUUAAAUUCUAAUAAAAAUUCUGUAAACCAGUUUUUAGACAGUUUUAAGUAGGUAGUUUGACUGGGGCGGUCACCUCCUAAAAAGUAACGGAGGUAUUUACAAAGGUUUUUAAAAUCAAUUUAAAAGAUUAAGUAUAAAAGCAUAAAUAAGCUUGACUGUUAGACAUAUAUGUCAAUCAGGGACGAAAGUCGGUUUUAGUGAUCCAAUAAUAUUUAAGUGGUAAAUGUUAUUGCUUAAUGGAUAAAAGUUACUCUAGGGAUAACAGGCUGAUCUCCCUUGAGAGUUCUUAUUAAUGGGGAGGUUUGGCACCUCGAUGUCGGCUUGUCGCAUCCUGGAGCGGUAGUACGUUCCAAAGGUUGGUCUGUUCGCCCAUUAAAGCGGCACGUGAGCUGGGUUCAGAACGUCGUGAGACAGUUCGGUCCGUAUCCGAUGUAGGCGUUAGAACAUUGAAAGAUUUUCUUUUAGUACGAGAGGAUCAAAGAAACUAUACCUAUGGUGUAUCAGUUAUUCUACCAAGAGUAUUUUGUUGAGAAGCUAAGUAUAGAUAGAAAAAGUUUAACCACUGAAAGCAUCUAAGUGGGAAAAAUAUCUUAAGAUAAAUGUUCUUUAUCGAUUUUUAAUUUUUAAAAACGAGUAAGAAAUCAGUAAGAUUAACUGUUAAAUAGAUAAAAUAUGUUUAAGUAUAGUAAUAUACUAAGCUUUAUUAUACUAAUAAUUCGAGUAAUUGAACU
rnacentral:rRNA from 1 species